rnacentral:rRNA from 1 species
AGGAUCAUUACAGUAUGAUUUAAGGGGGUUGGAUGCUGGCCCGCGAGGGCAUGUGCGCGCCUCUGUUUUUCUUACACACAACAACACCUGUGCACCUAUGGGGCAAGUGCCUCUCCGGGGGACUGCCUCUUUUUAUAAUCUCAGCCUGUUCGAACGCACGUUUAAUUGAGCUCUACGGAGUUGAUAAAUACAUACAACUUUCGACAACGGAUCUCUUGGCUUUUGCAUCGAUGAAGAACGCCGCGAAAGUGCGAAACGUAAUGUGAAUUGCAGAAUUCAGUGAAUCAUCGAAUCUUUGAACGCAUCUUGCGCCCCUUGGUUAAUCCGAGGAGCAUGCCUGUUUGAGUGUCGUGAAACCCCAUCGACCUUUGCUUUCUUUGUUGAAGGUGUUAGGGUUGGAUUUGGACGUCUGUGGCGGGUCCGUCCGCCGCUCGUCUUUAAAUGCAUUAGCUUGGCCCCCUCGAGUCGGUUCAACGACGGUGUGAUAAUAAACGUUUUUGUUGACUGUGGCGCCGUUUGGCCGGCUCRAGUUUGUUGGGUUGCUUUACAAGCCCC